rnacentral:lncRNA from 1 species
GCUGUAUGCUGUCGGUUGUUAAACAUACCCAGAACCUUGCUGAGACCUGGCCAAAAAACCCCGCCUGUUUCCACAAAAACAAGGACCAGAGAGAAGGAUCGUCGUGCAUAAAUGAGGAAGAAAAUCUCUCUGGCACAUGACUUGGAGCUCCUGGUGUCCAGAUCGACUGCAACUGGGUUUUGUGGCAAUAGCACAGAUUAUCGGCUCUGGGCUUUAUCGGGAUCCUAGACACUUGCUGAAAGUAUUUCAACAGCGACCUGAGUCCCAAAGAGUUCAAGCCUCUCUCCCUUUCUGCUACUGUCACCACCACGGCAGCAAAAGAGAAGCCCAGCCCUUGUGCCCCUUGGCGUCUGACCCCAGGCUGACUUGGCCACACUGCCAUUUGCCUCCUGCAUGCUGAUACACCUGGAUGUCUGCAGAACUAGUAAAUAUUUGCCCACGCGGGAGAGAGCAAAUGGCGGUUUCUGCACAGGGUAGGUGAUGAGGCAGCUGGUCCCCCUGUGUCAAUAGUGUGAAACCAACAAUGGCAAUGUGCAAUGAUGACACACUAUCUGUUAGCUUCAGAGAAGGGAGCUACCAAUGGCCAUGACCUCCAGACUCCACGGCUGCACCUUCAGGGCAGCCGGAGCACAGGUCUGCUUUCUGCUCUGGAUGUCAGCUCUUCACUGCACUCUGCUGCCUUCCAGCCCCUGGCACAGCUGAACUUCAAGAUCACUGCAGUGACAUUUCAACUUUCCCCAGGGGCUUUAGGAAUCAAUCGUGUCCUUUUGCAGGGCACCUGACUGCUUCUGUCCAUACAGCAUGUGACUCUUGAUCUCUGGGCUGUGAGUUCAAGCUCCAUAUUGGG